CUUGAAGAUUGGAGGAUAGCCAAUCUCACUCUAAACUUCAAAAAGAACAAGAAAGAGGAUCCAGGAAACUACAAGCCAGUCAGCCUCGUCUCCAUCCCUGGAAAGGUGAUGGAAUAACUUGUUUUAGAUACCCUCUCCAAACAGUAGGAAGAAAAGAAUGUUGUCAGGAGUAAUCAGUAUGGAUUCAUAAAGGGGAAAUCAUGCUUGACCAACCUAGUAGCCUUCUAUGAUGUCAUCACUGGCUGGGUAGAUGGUUGGAGAGUUGUGGAUACUGUCUGCCUUGACAUCAGCAUGGUCUUUGACACCAUUUCCCACAAUGUCCUUGUUACGAAACUUAUUAUGUAGAGGAUAGAUGAGUGGAUGGUGAGGUAGAGUGAAAAAUGCACAUAGCAUUUUUUAGGGUUUCAGCAGCAGAGCUGCACUCUGUGGAACUGCAUGGCUGUCAGACUGAACUUAUUUCACUGACUCCACUGACAACUGCAAGGCAGAUGGGCUUCAGUUUGCCUGACAUAAGCCACCCAAGAUGGUAG
rnacentral:lncRNA from 1 species